UUAGUUGUUUUCAUCAUUUUAUUUCUUCACCACCUGUUGGUUCUGUUUUCUAGGACACUAGCCAAUUCAAAACCUUGUCCCAAGUGCAAGUGAACCAUUGAAAAAGAAAAUACUUGGAUGCAUGCAUGUUUUUUCAAUCGCGUCCGGCAUCGGGGCAAUUCAGUUGAUUUGUUUCAUUAAAUGAACCCCAAUCGUUUAUUUUCAAAAGUUUUUAUUACUCACUUGUGCAUGCAUUUUUUUAUUUACAUGGACAACAUAACUUUUGCAGCAAUCCUUCUUACACACCUUCACAGCAAGGACACAUAAUAUACCAUUGGUCCAAAAUAAGUGGGUGGAAUUCGUCUGUAACAAACUUACAAUUCGUGAAUUUUCAUCUUUUC
rnacentral:lncRNA from 1 species